CCUACGGGAGGCAGCAGUGGGGAAUUUUGGACAAUGGGGGCAACCCUGAUCCAGCCAUGCCGCGUGAGUGAAGAAGGCCUUCGGGUUGUAAAGCUCUUUCGGCGGGGAAGAAAUUGCAUCGGAUAAUACCCGGUGUAGAUGACGGUACCCGCAUAAGAAGCACCGGCUAACUACGUGCCAGCAGCCGCGGUAAUACGUAGGGUGCGAGCGUUAAUCGGAAUUACUGGGCGUAAAGCGUGCGCAGGCGGUUGUGUAAGUCAGAUGUGAAAUCCCCGGGCUUAACCUGGGAACUGCAUUUGAGACUGCACGGCUAGAGUGUGGCAGAGGGGGGUGGAAUUCCACGUGUAGCAGUGAAAUGCGUAGAGAUGUGGAGGAACACCGAUGGCGAAGGCAGCCCCCUGGGCCAAUACUGACGCUCAUGCACGAAAGCGUGGGGAGCAAACAGGAUUAGAUACCCUUGUAGUCCAG
rnacentral:rRNA from 1 species